CAAAACGUUGUUUUCUUCUCAGUUUUGGGAUUCUUGUUGGCGUUUAUUAGUCUUGGGCGAGCCUGAGCACAUUAAGAUGUUUUUUAAAUUCUUCCAGUUACUGUGGAAACCUUGAGUCUCCAGGAGGAAGGCGGUGUCCCGUGCCCUUGUGCGGACAUUCGUGUUCUGGAGGAUGACACCCUGACUCAUGCAGAGGAAAAGAAGAGCCCUGUUGCAGAGCACAACAGGAAGACAUUUAGCACUACUCUUUGCCAGGAUGACACCUGCAGGGCUGCUGCAGGAGUGGAAGUGAGCCACGGACUGGAUGAGUAGCGCUGAGAAAACUGCAUUGCUGUACAAAUCUCUUGCCAAACCAGAGCGCCAUUUUGGCUUCCAUUCUCCUUUUCUGACACCUGUAGGAACCACAUCUUGGUCCUUGUACUGCUUUAACUCCCAGAGAAAUAAUUAAGUAACAAGAUUGUAUAACCUACUGAAAACAUAAUGACUGAAUUCCUGGUUUGUUUUUACUGGUGCAAUGGUGAACAACAACAGCUGAAGAGGUGUCAGGAGACUGGACUGGAACAUGAUAGGGGAGCCAAUGAACUUUGCCCACAAUGCUCAUUUUGGGACAAGAGAGAUGAGUAGUGACUCUUCAUCAACUGCAUCAAUUCAGGACCACAUGAAGUCUAAAGGUGGUUAUACAAAUGGCACUUCUGCAACUGCUGAGCUAUAGGAAAUUGAAAGAAUUUUGACAUUUGCCCUGUCUUAAGAAGAUCUCCUGGGCUGUGCUUUCAUCUUCUCUAAAGCCUCUUUAUCAUGAAGUAGAGAGAGUACUUGAAUUAUAAUAGGUCAGUGUGAGCGUUUGCGUUCUUUGCACAAUAGCAUUCUGAAGGAGUUACUGGAAAUUAUCCUGAAAAUGGUCUGUUGCGGUAGUGUUGUAGUAGCAACAGUAAUUUGUCACUGGAUGACUUCCUGGCUGUUCCAAAAACCUCAAAGUUGUCUUGUAGGAUGGGAUUGGAAGCUGACAUGAAUUGUCUGGGGUUUUGGUCUCUCUCUUCCCCUCAGGAAGCAAGACUGAUUUUUUUUAUUUUUAUUUUUUUUUUAAUUGGAAGGUAACAUAUUUGCACUUUGUAUGUGGGCUAAAAUGAAUUUCUAAGUAGGAUCGUGUAGCCUAUAACACGUUACCUAAUUUUUGGAUGGCUUACAAUUAAGGUGUUAAUUUACUGAGCUAUACUUCAGUAUUUUUCUCUGUGACUUUCAAUAGCGAACCAACUCUAAUAUGAUGUAACUAGCUGAGUCUGCAAAACCCAGUGAAACUUCUGCCUUGCUGUGAUAACACUUUUGUAGCUAAAAAGGCAGGUUUUACAGACCUGCCCACUCCCAAAUGAGGCUUAGAAAAACAAGCAUUUCUCUGUUACUAGUCUGCCUCUCCUUUUUAUGUGCACUAGUAUAACUGACAGGUAUUAAUACAGCAAAACUAAUCAUAUUAGGUAUCAGUUAAUUUGAAGUGCUACAACAUGCUCAAAACUUCAUGCUAAUUUUGCAUGAAUUCUAGGGAACUUCAAGCUAACUACAUUUAAGAUCUCUCUGCAUUACCUAUCUGUAAUGAUAACUGCACAGAACUGGAAGGGGUAUCUCUUGCUUCUGUCUCCUUAAUUUCAAAACCAUUUUCUUAGAUGAACUGAAGUCUUUCUUAUAUAUGAUUUUAAAUUAUAUGGGUUAAAUUAACUAUGAUAGAGCUGGGAGAAUAUUAAAUGGAAACUGUCUCUUAGAGUUUCAGCACUUCAAAAAUAUGAAUAUUUAGCCAUACCCAAACUACAGUUUCUUUCUUAUACCAUUAGUAAGAACUGACAAAACUGCUGAAAUAGAGAUUUUCUUUUUAUCACAUCACUGACAACUGUUCUCUGACUUAAAAUUAUGAAUGACUGCCAGUGCAGAAACUUUAAGUUUGCUGUCGUGGGAUUAACUAACUACACUUGUUUAAAUUACUGCCAAAUCAGCACCAGUUACAGCCCAAGUCAGUGCAACUCUCCCUUUCUUGCUCUAGGCAUAAGAUCAUCCUUAUUUUUAAUGAAAAAAAAAAAAAAAAAGGAACAAAAAGUUUUGCCAGAUAGAUUUUUGGAAGACAGAUUUUUUUUUUAACUUCUAUGAUUAUGUUUGUGGCUUCUGAUACUUUUCAAAUUGGCUUUGCUUAAGUCUUAGUCUGCCUAUUCUGAGUAUAUUAGGUAACUUAAAACAUGAAAAGUAGGUUUCUAUAUUAUAAAAAGAAACAUUUUACCCAUGCUUCCUUCCCAUAUUUCAUCUUUAAGGGCCAAAGAGGAAGAGAAUGCUACUUUCUGUAAUAGUCAACAGCUGAUCAUCGCAUUCAGCAACCACAUAAAAGAGUAAAAGAAAAAUCUAAUGUCCCACAUCUUUCAUAGGACAGCAGUGAUAAAGAAAAUGGGUUAUAUUUUUCUUAACACUACAAGAAAAGCUAGAGAGUUAGUAUUUCCUGAAGACUCAUUCAGUAUAUUUAAGAAUAGAGUGCUGCAUGCAUGACUACAAAUAAGUUGGGGAUCAGGAUAGUUAUUCUUCCUAUAAAUAAAUCAACAGAGAUAAUUCUGUUUUUCAGCUUAUUUGUAGAAAAAUCCUACUUCUUAUUCUGUAAAUCAAACAGCAUUACCUAGUGUAAAUAUACAGUAUACAGAAUAUACAGUAUUAUCUAGGACUACAUUAAAAUUAACCAAGUAGUCAUGUUAUUAAAAAAAAAAAAAAGUUUUGCUAUUGCAUUAUGUGCCCUGUUCUUUUUUUAUAUAAUGUAAACAAGCAUAAAAGCGUGUCUCAGGUAUUUUCUUUGUAUAAUUAGAACCCUUAUUUAGCUCUGGUCUGUCAUAUAACCUAGAUAGGUUUAUACUGAGUUACAAUAAAUCUGUUGAAUGAGGUACUUGAACUCUUUUCAUGUUGUCCAAAUCUUGGUAUUUUUCUCUGCACUGAAGAUACGUUGGUCAGGUGGAUGGAUCAGCAUGGUUUGAAACUUUAUUGUGCAAAAUAACGUUUCUCCACUAGAGAGCACAAUUUUCUAUCAAGUCUCUGACAACUGCUCUAUACAGGUUGUUACUUCACUGUGGGGUGAUUUUUUGUUGUCGGGGCUUCUUGUUUAUUUUAUUUCGGUCGAGUUGAAAACAGCAAAUGACACCAAAGGGUCAAACCAGACCACUUUCCCCAGGGAAGUGGUCACUGCACCGAGCCUGUCUGAAUUUAAGAAGAGAUUGGACUG